GAGAUCCAAAGGAAGAGAAAUAAGCAAUGCAACAACUGCUGAAACAAGAUGAAUUAUAAAAUCAACCGGAAAAAUGCAGCUUUCACUUUUGGAGGUGUUGCAACAGUGAAAGCGGCAAGUUAUAUAAUUCCAUCUUAUGAAGCUGUGGUACUGACAACAAUAGUCUUAUUGAUCAUCCUCCUUGGAAAAUACAUGCUUUCUACAGUAGACAUCACCAAGG